rnacentral:rRNA from 1 species
UACGGGGGUAGGGCAGUGUUCGGCGAAUUAUUGGGCGUAAAGAGCUCGUAGGCGGUUUGUCGCGUCUGCUGUGAAAACUCGGGGCUUAACUCCGGGCCUGCAGUGGGUACGGGCAGACUAGAGUGCGGUAGGGGAGACUGGAAUUCCUGGUGUAGCGGUGAAAUGCGCAGAUAUCAGGAGGAACACCGGUGGCGAAGGCGGGUCUCUGGGCCGUAACUGACGCUGAGGAGCGAAAGCAUGGGGAGCGAACAGG